rnacentral:rRNA from 1 species
UACGGAGGGUGCAAGCGUUAAUCGGAAUUACUGGGCGUAAAGCGCGCGCAGGCGGUCUUCCAAGUCAGUGGUGAAAGCCUGGAGCUCAACUCCAGAACUGCCAUUGAAACUGUUAGACUUGAGUACGAGAGAGGUGAGUGGAAUUCCCAGUGUAGAGGUGAAAUUCGUAGAUAUUGGGAAGAACACCAGUGGCGAAGGCGGCUCACUGGCUCGUAACUGACGCUGAGGCACGAAAGCGUGGGGAGCAAACAGG